rnacentral:rRNA from 1 species
GACGAACGCUGGCGGCGUGCCUAAUACAUGCAAGUCGAACGCAGUGGGGACGGGUGAGUAACACUUGGGUAACCUCCCCAUCAGAGGGGAUAACACUUGGAAACAUGUUCUACACCGAUAUUGAUGGAUGGACCCGCGGUGCAUUAGCUAGUUGGUGAGGUAACGGCUCACCCAGGCCCCGAGGCAUAGCCGGACUGAGAGGGUGAUCGGCCACAAGGGGAAUGAGAAACGGCCCAGAUUCCUAAGGGAGGCAGCAGUAGGGAAGCUUCGGCAAUGGACGAAAGUCUGACCGAGCAACGCCGCGUGAGUGAAGAAGGUUUUCGGAUCGUAAAACUCUGUUGUGAGAGAAGCGGGAUCUAACCAGAAAGCCACGGCGAACUACGGGCCAGCAGCCGCGGUAAUUC